rnacentral:rRNA from 1 species
CCUGGCUCAGGAUGAACGCUAGCUACAGGCUUAACACAUGCAAGUCGAGGGGCAGCAUGGUCUUAGCUUGCUAAGACUGAUGGCGACCGGCGCACGGGUGAGUAACACGUAUCCAACCUGCCGUCUACUCUUGGACAGCCUUCUGAAAGGAAGAUUAAUACAAGAUGGCAUCAUGAGUCCGCAUGUUCACAUGAUUAAAGGUAUUCCGGUAGACGAUGGGGAUGCGUUCCAUUAGAUAGUAGGCGGGGUAACGGCCCACCUAGUCUUCGAUGGAUAGGGGUUCUGAGAGGAAGGUCCCCCACAUUGGAACUGAGACACGGUCCAAACUCCUACGGGAGGCAGCAGUGAGGAAUAUUGGUCAAUGGGCGAGAGCCUGAACCAGCCAAGUAGCGUGAAGGAUGACUGCCCUAUGGGUUGUAAACUUCUUUUAUAAAGGAAUAAAGUCGGGUAUGCAUACCCGUUUGCAUGUACUUUAUGAAUAAGGAUCGGCUAACUCCGUGCCAGCAGCCGCGGUAAUACGGAGGAUCCGAGCGUUAUCCGGAUUUAUUGGGUUUAAAGGGAGCGUAGAUGGAUGUUUAAGUCAGUUGUGAAAGUUUGCGGCUCAACCGUAAAAUUGCAGUUGAUACUGGAUAUCUUGAGUGCAGUUGAGGCAGGCGGAAUUCGUGGUGUAGCGGUGAAAUGCUUAGAUAUCACGAAGAACUCCGAUUGCGAAGGCAGCCUGCUAAGCUGCAACUGACAUUGAGGCUCGAAAGUGUGGGUAUCAAACAGGAUUAGAUACCCUGGUAGUCCACACGGUAAACGAUGAAUACUCGCUGUUUGCGAUAUACUGCAAGCGGCCAAGCGAAAGCGUUAAGUAUUCCACCUGGGGAGUACGCCGGCAACGGUGAAACUCAAAGGAAUUGACGGGGGCCCGCACAAGCGGAGGAACAUGUGGUUUAAUUCGAUGAUACGCGAGGAACCUUACCCGGGCUUAAAUUGCAGAUGAAUUACGGUGAAAGCCGUAAGCCGCAAGGCAUCUGUGAAGGUGCUGCAUGGUUGUCGUCAGCUCGUGCCGUGAGGUGUCGGCUUAAGUGCCAUAACGAGCGCAACCCUUGUUGUCAGUUACUAACAGGUUCCGCUGAGGACUCUGACAAGACUGCCAUCGUAAGAUGUGAGGAAGGUGGGGAUGACGUCAAAUCAGCACGGCCCUUACGUCCGGGGCUACACACGUGUUACAAUGGGGGGUACAGAGGGCCGCUACCACGCGAGUGGAUGCCAAUCCCCAAAACCUCUCUCAGUUCGGACUGGAGUCUGCAACCCGACUCCACGAAGCUGGAUUCGCUAGUAAUCGCGCAUCAGCCACGGCGCGGUGAAUACGUUCCCGGGCCUUGUACACAACGCCCG